rnacentral:lncRNA from 1 species
UAGCUGAGCAGUGUGUCUGCCUCCACCUUCACCCUGACCACUGAUUCUGUUUCUGUAUCUCCAUUUUGGUGAGUGGCUGGGACCAAGAAUGAGGUAUCUCAAGUGGUCUUGUGGGGAUAUCUAGUCAUUCCCUUAAAAGAAAAGGUUGGAAAGAAGGAUUCUGAGCAGACAAGUUGUAUUAUACUUGGCUGACGCAGCCAGAAUUGACGGACAUUAGGGAUGGGGAGUUGGAGGGCUUGGAGGUUAAGAUAUGCAGAAGAAACGG